rnacentral:rRNA from 1 species
UACGUAGGGGGCAAGCGUUGUCCGGAAUCAUUGGGCGUAAAGAGCGCGUAGGCGGCCCUGUAAGUCCGCUGUGAAAGUCAAGGGCUCAACCCUUGAAUGCCGGUGGAUACUGCAGGGCUAGAGUCCGGAAGAGGCGAGUGGAAUUCCUGGUGUAGCGGUGAAAUGCGCAGGAUAUCAGGAAGAACACCCGUGGCGAAGGCGGCUCUCUGGGAACGGUACUGACG